rnacentral:rRNA from 1 species
AAUGGGGGAAACCCUGACGCAGCAACGCCGCGUGGGUGAUGAAGGCCUUCGGGUCGUAAAGCCCUGUCGGGAAGGAAGAAAUGAUUGAGAGCUAAUACCUCUUGGUCUUGACGGUACCUCCGAAGGAAGCACCGGCUAACUACGUGCCAGCAGCCGCGGUAACACGUAGGGGGCGAGCGUUGUUCGGAAUUACUGGGCGUAAAGGGCAUGUAGGCGGUCUUGUAAGCUUGGCGUGAAAGACCACGGCUCAACCGUGGGAUUGCGUUGAGAACUGCGAGGCUUGAGUGACGGAGAGGGAGCUAGAAUUCCUGGUGUAGGGGUGGAAUCUGUAGAGAUCAGGAAGAAUACCAAUGGCGAAGGCAAGCUCCUGGCCGAUGACUGACGCUGAGGUGCGAAAGUGUGGGGAUCAAA